rnacentral:rRNA from 1 species
GACGUAGGGCGCGAGCGUUGUCCGGAUUUAUUGGGCGUAAAGAGCUCGUAGGCGGCUUGUCGCGUCGACCGUGAAAACUUGGGGCUCAACCCCAAGCCUGCGGUCGAUACGGGCAGGCUCGAGUUCGGUAGGGGAGAGUGGAAUUCCUGGUGUAGCGGUGAAAUGCGCAGAUAUCAGGAGGAACACCGAUGGCGAAGGCAGGUCUCUGGGCCGAUACUGACGCUGAGGAGCGAAAGCGUGGGGAGCGGACAGG